rnacentral:rRNA from 1 species
UGCAGUCGAGCGAACAGACGAGGAGCUUGCUCCUUUGACGUUAGCGGCGGACGGGUGAGUAACACGUGGGUAACCUACCUAUAAGACUGGGAUAACUUCGGGAAACCGGAGCUAAUACCGGAUAAUAUUUCGAACCGCAUGGUUCGAUAGUGAAAGAUGGCUUUGCUAUCACUUAUAGAUGGACCUGCGCCGUAUUAGCUAGUUGGUAAGGUAACGGCUUACCAAGGCAACGAUACGUAGCCGACCUGAGAGGGUGAUCGGCCACACUGGAACUGAGACACGGUCCAGACUCCUACGGGAGGCAGCAGUAUGGAAUCUUCCGCAAUGGGCGAAAGCCUGACGGAGCAACGCCGCGUGAGUGAUGAAGGUCUUCGGAUCGUAUUACUCUGUUAUUAGGGAAGAACAAAUGUGUCAGUCACUGUGCACGUCUUGACGGUACCUAAUCAGAAAGUCACGGCUAACUACGUGCCAGCAGCCGCGGUAAUACGUAGGUGGCAAGCGUUAUCCGGAAUUAUUGGGCGUAAAGCGCGCGUAGGCGGAUUUUUAAGUCUGAUGUGAAAGCCCACGGCUCAACCGUGGAGGGUCAUUGGAAACUGGAAAACUUGAGUGCAGAAGAGGAAAGUGGAAUUCCAUGUGUAGCGGUGAAAUGCGCAGAGAUAUGGAGGAACACCAGUGGCGAAGGCGACUUUCUGGUCUGUAACUGACGCUGAUGUGCGAAAGCGUGGGGAUCAAACAGGAUUAGAUACCCUGGUAGUCCACGCCGUAAACGAUGAGUGCUAAGUGUUAGGGGGUUUCCGCCCCUUAGUGCUGCAGCUAACGCAUUAAGCACUCCGCCUGGGGAGUACGACCGCAAGGUU